UCAGAAUGUCGUCUGCUCUCUGCAAAUUUUUGUUACCUAAAAAACCGCUAAAACGUGACACGCCACGCUUUAGUUUUGUGGCUAUAAAAUAUAAAAAAUCUAUGAGUGUAAACUAUUAAAAGUGAUUUAUAUCUCAACUUGUGUAAUCUGUAAUACAACAACGACCUGAAAAACGAAUAUCCUAAAAACCUAGACUUUGCCUAGACACACAAGGACACAAGUUCUGGAUUGGGAUUUGGGAAGCACAUGGAAUUCCUCAUGCAACAAGAAUGAAGUCAAUUUCUUUUCAAACUGUGCUACCAAACUGAAUUGAACGCUUUUGUGUCUGCUGCUGCAUUUUUCCAGUAGACUUUUCCUGCCCUUCCCCUCAAAAUAUUGACGUGAGGCUGCCAUAAGUUCUAAAGCCGAAAAUGAUGUAUGACUUUAUGAGGUAUGGGCUCAAUGCCAU